rnacentral:rRNA from 1 species
UCCUACGGGGGGCAGCAGUCGGGAAUAUUGCGCAAUGGAGGCAACUCUGACGCAGUGACGCCGCGUAUAGGAAGAAGGUUUUCGGAUUGUAAACUAUUGUCCUCAGGGAAGAAAAAAGACUGUACCUGAGAAGAAAGCUCCGGCUAACUACGUGCCAGCAGCCGCGGUAAUACGUGGGGGGCAAGCGUUAUCCGGAUUUACUGGGUGUAAAGGGAGCGUAGACGGCAGAGCAAGUCUGAAGUGAAAGCCCGCGGCCCAACUGCGGGACUGCUUUGGAAACUGCCCGGCUAGAGUG